rnacentral:lncRNA from 1 species
UUGAGGUGGAUAACAUACGAGUAUAAGAAUAAGAGGGGGAUGACCUACGCAUAACAGACGUGAAUUAAAGAUGAUCAAAUCAAUGAUCCUGAACACCUACUUACGUCAGACAUAACCCCACCGUGUCCUUAGUCGGAGAAAGGAACUCAUGAGAGAGACAAUCACGGUUACGCACACAGUUGGCAUAUUUUAAUUAAGCUUACUUCAAGUUAUCUAGAACCCGAUGUUAAACAAAGUUUCCAUGUUGCCACAUAACCACGGGCACGACUUCACGAAAGAUUUAACCCUGCAGGGGUGCUCCAACUAGUCCAUCAUAAAUUACCACAAGCCACAUAGAAAUCCUCGAUCACGAAACUCGUGAUCUCCUCGGAUUCCUUAGUGUAAAACCUCAACUCUGAGAUAACCCAAAGAAUCACCGGAAUCCUCAUGCACAAGAUAUUUCGUAAAAGGUAAAACUAAUCAAGCAAGGCCGUCCGAUGUGUUGACGAACCCGAUAGGAGCCGCGUAUCUCGUUCUAAGGUCACGACCGGAUGAGCACUACGUACGGUUGCCGGAUAGACAUCCCCUGAGUUGCCCCGGAUGGCCCCACAAGUGGCCCUGUUUUGGACCAACACUCAUGAGGAGCACUGGCCCUGGGGUUGAUUAAUUAUCCACGGGGUGAUCAAACCGUAUGCAUAUUUUAU